rnacentral:lncRNA from 1 species
AUGUUUUCGCCUCCUGCACUCCGGGAUCGGGCUUUCGGGAGGCCAUUCCUCAUAACGGACGAACAGAAGGGUCACGCCCGGAGUAAGGGCCCUGGAGCACGAGACCAGAUCACCAAGACCGGACCUGCUGACCCACUGAGGGGACAUGGUGCUUGCAGCUGCUGCUGUGCUAGUGAUGUGCUGUGCUUAGUUGCUGAGUCAUGUCCGACUCUUUGUGACCCCAUGGACUGUAGCCCUCCAGAAACCUCUGUCUAUGGUUUGUGCCGAGCCUCUUGGGAACAGAGAAGAGGCGGAAACCAGGCAGGUCUUGGGGCGGGGAGCGGGGGAGGUGGCUUUGGAAAGAGACGGUGGGGAGGUGAUGGGAUCGACCGAAUACAGACUCUGGAGGAGGCCCGGCGGCUGGCCCAGCACGUCCAGGACCGCUCGGCUGGAAGGGAUUUCCUGGACGGUGGAGGGACCGCAGGGGCCCCGUAGAGGCUCCCGUUUCUG